AGCGAACGCUGGCGGCAGGCUUAACACAUGCAAGUCGAGCGGGCCCUUCGGGGUCAGCGGCGGACGGGUGAGUAACGCGUGGGAACGUGCCUUCUGGUUCGGAAUAACCCUGGGAGACUAGGGCUAAUACCGGAUACGCCCUUUUGGGGAAAGGUUUACUGCCGGAAGAUCGGCCCGCGUCUGAUUAGCUAGUUGGUGGGGUAACGGCCUACCAAGGCGACGAUCAGUAGCUGGUCUGAGAGGAUGAUCAGCCACACUGGGACUGAGACACGGCCCAGACUCCUACGGGAGGCAGCAGUGGGGAAUAUUGGACAAUGGGCGCAAGCCUGAUCCAGCCAUGCCGCGUGAGUGAUGAAGGCCUUAGGGUUGUAAAGCUCUUUUAUCCGGGACGAUAAUGACGGUACCGGAGGAAUAAGCCCCGGCUAACUUCGUGCCAGCAGCCGCGGUAAUACGAAGGGGGCUAGCGUUGCUCGGAAUCACUGGGCGUAAAGGGCGCGUAGGCGGCGUUUUAAGUCGGGGGUGAAAGCCUGUGGCUCAACCACAGAAUGGCCUUCGAUACUGGGACGCUUGAGUAUGGUAGAGGUUGGUGGAACUGCGAGUGUAGAGGUGAGAUUCGUAGAUAUUCGCAAGAACACCGGUGGCGAAGGCGGCCAACUGGACCAUUACUGACGCUGAGGCGCGAAGCGUGGGGAGCAAAC
rnacentral:rRNA from 1 species